UACGUAGGGUGCAAGCGUUGUCCGGAAUUAUUGGGCGUAAAGAGCUCGUAGGCGGUUUGUUGCGUCGGCUGUGAAAUCCCGAGGCUCAACCUCGGGUCUGCAGUCGAUACGAGCAAACUAGAGUGUUGCAGGGGAGACUGGAGUUCCCGGUGUAGCGGUGAAAUGCGCAGAUAUCAGGAGGAACACCGGUGGCGAAGGCGGGUCUCUGGGCAACAACUGACGCUGAGGAGCGAAAGCGUGGGGAGCGAACAGG
rnacentral:rRNA from 1 species